GAUGACCAUAGCAAGUCGGUCCCACCCCUUCCCAUCCCGAACAGGACCGUGAAACGACUUUGCGCCGAUGAUAGUGCUGCAACCAGUGUGAAAGUAGGUUAUCGUCA
rnacentral:rRNA from 5 species